rnacentral:siRNA from 1 species
CUAGAGUGUGGGCUUCCAACCUA